rnacentral:rRNA from 1 species
AACGAACGCUGGCGGCAUGCCUAACACAUGCAAGUCGAACGAGACCUUCGGGUCUAGUGGCGCACGGGUGCGUAACGCGUGGGAAUCUGCCCUUGGGUUCGGAAUAACUCGCCGAAAGGCGUGCUAAUACCGGAUGAUGACGUAAGUCCAAAGAUUUAUCGCCCAAGGAUGAGCCCGCGUUGGAUUAGCUAGUUGGUGAGGUAAAGGCUCACCAAGGCGACGAUCCAUAGCUGGUCUGAGAGGAUGAUCAGCCACACUGGGACUGAGACACGGCCCAGACUCCUACGGGAGGCAGCAGUGGGGAAUAUUGGACAAUGGGCGAAAGCCUGAUCCAGCAAUGCCGCGUGAGUGAUGAAGGCCUUAGGGUUGUAAAGCUCUUUUACCCGGGAUGAUAAUGACCGUACCGGGAGAAUAAGCGCCGGCUAACUCCGUG